AGAUGAAGUUCCCAAAGCACCGAAUGUGUUUAUGAUGUCUCUGUGUGAAUCCUCACCUGGUUCUUUACUUGUUGGCUGUUUGGCCACUGGAUUUUCACCUGCUAAAUCUGUCAAUUUCAAUUGGAUGGAUCAGCGUGGAAACUCUUUGACUAAUUUCAUCCAGUACCCUACAGUAGGAACUGGAAACAAGAUGAUGAAAGCCAGCCAUAUAACUAUUGAUGAAACAGAAUGGAAUCAAAGUAAAAUUAUCUGUGAAGCAAGACAUCCAUCAAGAAAUGUUAACGAAACAUUCACAACAGUGAAACCACAAGACCCAACCCUAAGCUUGGUUCUUGUAACAACCCAAAAAAGUACAUCUGUCAUGUGUGUCAUUGAGGAUUUCUAUCCCAAGAAGAUCGAUGUACAAUGGAAGGUGAAUAAUAUUAACAGCAUGAGCCAGGUAAAACUGGAACACAAACUGAAUGAUACAGGUCAUUACACAGCAUACAGUUUUUAUGAAGUCAGCAGUGAGAAUUGGGAUGUGAAUACUCAGUACACAUGUGAGGUCACACACCGGGGAAAACUGUUCACUAUGAAGGCAAACUUAAACGCUAAAUUUGCACUGACACUGAAGCCUCCAAUUCAGAAAGAAAUAUUUGUAAAUAAUAAAGUUGUCUUGGAAGCUGUUGUUUCUGGAGAUAUAAAAGAAACAGUGGAAAAAGCUUCAGUGUCAUGCUCAAUGAAAGAAGCUAGAAUUGAUGUGAGGAACAGUCGUGUUUUCUAAUGACAUUUCACAGUCUAUAAAAAUACACAAUGUCACUGUUGACACAAAGAAAUGGUUUGAUGGUGACGUGGUCACCUGCACCAUCCAUGACACAAAUAAUAACAGAGACAGCGAGCAGAAGAUCAGUUUUCAAAAAGGAGAUGGAAAUGUGCCCACUGUUACCAUUUACAAACCUGAUAACAUCACAGAUUCGCUCUCUCAUGUGAGUGAGGUGAACAGCCCUAAACUCAGCGAUGUCUAUGUAAUGUGGAAAGUGGGUGAUGAGUCUUACAGAGAGGGCACAACCAGUGCUCCCACCCAUCAAAAGGACUCCACAUCUGUUCUCAGCAUCCUAACAAUGACAAAAGAAGAGUAUAAUGUCAUCACCUGUGCAGUCAUUCAUGCCAACAUGAAAUAUAUAAGUGCUCCAUUACAAGUGUCAACAAGCAAAAGUAAACAGCCAGAAUUUUCAUGUGAUUAAUGUGCAAGCAUUUCCAAACUAUCAUUGUUUAUCUGUCGUUCAGUUUUCCAG